rnacentral:rRNA from 1 species
AAUAUAUAGGAACAUACACUUUGGUGGGGAAUAACAUCGGGAAACUGGUGCUAAUACCGCAUAAGCCCGCGAGGGGAAAGAUUUAUUGCCAAAGGAUUGGCCUAUAUCAGAUUAGAUAGUUGGUGGGGUAAAGGCCUACCAAGGCGACGAUCUGUAGCGGGUCUGAGAGGAUGAUCCGCCACACUGGGACUGAGACACGGCCCAGACUCCUACGGGAGGCAGCAGUGGGGAAUAUUGGACAAUGGGCGAAAGCCUGAUCCAGCCAUGCCGCGUGUGUGAAGAAGGCCUUUUGGUUGUAAAGCACUUUAAGCGAGGAGGAGGCUACCGAGAUUAAUACUCUUGGAUAGUGGACGUUACUCGCAGAAUAAGCACCGGCUAACUCUGUGCCAGCAGCCGCGGUAAUACAGAGGGUGCGAGCGUUAAUCGGAUUUACUGGGCGUAAAGCGUGCGUAGGCGGCUUUUUAAGUCGGAUGUGAAAUCCCUGAGCUUAACUUAGGAAUUGCAUUCGAUACUGGGAAGCUAGAGUAUGGGAGAGGAUGGUAGAAUUCCAGGUGUAGCGGUGAAAUGCGUAGAGAUCUGGAGG